GCCCCUGUAGCUCAACGGAUAGAGUAGAUCCGUCCUAAGGAUAUGAUAGAGGUUCGAUUCCUCUCGGGGGUACCA
rnacentral:tRNA from 1 species